rnacentral:rRNA from 1 species
GACGGAGGAUGCAAGUGGUUAUCCGGAAUCACUGGGCGUAAAGCGUCUGUAGGUGGUUUAAAAAGUCUACUGUUAAAAAUUGAAGCUUAACUUCAAAGAUGCCGUAGGAAACUUUUAAACUUGAGGAUGGUAGGGGUAGAGGGAAUUUCCAGUGGAGCGGUGAAAUGCGUAGAUCUUGGAAAGAACACCAACGGCGAAAGCACUCUGCUGGGCCGACACUGACACUGGAGAGACGAAAGCUAGGGGAGCGAAUGGG